rnacentral:tRNA from 1 species
UGGGGCGUCGUCUAAUGGCAGGACACCAGGUUCUGGCUCUGGCAGUUGGGGUUCGAAUCCCUGCGCCCCAG